CCUACGGGAGGCUGCAGUGAGGAAUAUUGGUCAAUGGACGCAAGUCUGAACCAGCCAUGCCGCGUGCAGGAAGACGGCUCUAUGAGUUGUAAACUGCUUUUGUACGAGGGUAAAUCCCGAUACGUGUAACGGGUUGAAAGUAUCGUACGAAUAAGGAUCGGCUAACUCCGUGCCAGCAGCCGCGGUAAUACGGAGGAUUCAAGCGUUAUCCGGAUUUAUUGGGUUUAAAGAGUACGUAGGCGGUUCGAUGAGUUAGAGGUGAAAUCCCGGGGCUCAACUCGGGCACUGCAUCGGAUACUGGUGAGCUAGAGACUAGUGGAGGGGGGUAGAAUGUAAGGUGUAGCGGUGAAAUGCGUAGAGAUGA
rnacentral:rRNA from 1 species